GUGCACAGUAUCUGUACCAAAAAAACUGGAUUAUGAACUGCAGUCUGUCUGUUUUUGGAGAAGUUGAAAAGUUUGUCACUUCUUUUUUUUAGGUCUUUUAUUUCUGCAGUCUUUCGACUGACUUCAAGAUAUACCAAAAAUAUUUGUUAAAACUAUUGUUGUUAAUUGUCAGUCUAGCUUAGCGUAGGCCAAAUAUUUAUGAGUACAAGCUCUUUCUCUUUCUAGACAACAGGAGAUAAAAAUGCAAUAUUUUUCCGAUCACUUUCCAAAGACAAACUUAUUUUUUAAUUUGACGAUCGCUCUCCCUGCUAUGCCUCAAAGUGGCAAAUUAACCAAUUAGAAAAGAAUGGAGAUCAGGGGUCGUGACACCCUGUAUAAAGUUAAUAUAUAUGAGUGGUGUUCAGGUUUGAAUGGUUACAUCCUUGGGUGCUUGCCUUGGCUUUGUUUCGCUACAUUUGCCCCUAAUAUGACAGGGAGGGUGUUGUGAUCCUUCCUAAACUGGCAUAUCCACAUCGCAGCAGUUUAGAUUAUUGUCAGGCUUUCGGUAGUCUCUGGCCGUUUCAGUUUUUUCUACCAAUCCUCAGCCAUGAAAUGAAAAGCUUGAACCAAAGUCGUUUUCUCACUACUCGCUGUGCCUGUGUGAGCGAGCAAGUCGCCGUUCGCACGAUCCCACACACUACUACUGACACUUUGUCUCAGCUUCUACCCACCCGUUUCAGCUUCCGAGACUUUUGUCCCGUUUCAACCCCCUGUGCACCCACCCCCCCCCACCCACAUGAAGGAUCAAGGAUAUUCUAGCUUUAACAACUGGCUGCUUCGACUCAUGACGCUGGCCAGCUUUUUUUUGAAAGACCUGCCAGUUUUCUUUCGUCUAGCUUCACGAUCACAUCCUGUUAGCAGGUCUCAGGUUCUGUGGUUAAAGCCCCUCGUCUUCUUCACUUUGAACACCCAACUAGCUUUGCUAUGGGAGGGGCUCAUCCACUAGCGUCACCAGUCACAGUAUUUGAAACUGGCCAGGAUCCCCUACCUGUAGAGUAGCCCCUGUGCUGCCUUUAUUUGACCUACCAUUUCGUAACAGUACUCUACCACAGAAGUAGUGUUGUUCUGUCGACCCUAAAGUUACCUGAACAAUGACCGCCUGAUUCGACAGCAGAAAGAUAUCUACCCUCUUAUCCCCUUUUUAUGUGCUCCUUUCUUUUUACCCUCAAAUUACUUUCACUGAAUACCUCGGCAGCACUUACCAUUAGGUUCAUUUUAAGAAAUCUUUCACCCGUAGAAUAUUGUAGAAUGUACAGCUUGGAUUGCCCAGCUUGCCAUUUCAAAAAACGUGUAAACAGUGAAUUGUACAUAAUCAACAAUAAUCAUUGUUAUCUCCAACUAGGGCAAACUACUACUGCUAUUUUCAAGUACUACUACUAAAAGGGUAUUUCCAGGUUUUAACAGUUCAACUUUACUUUAUGAUCCUUCUUGCCAAAGCUAAACAAAAGCCUUUCUCUCUGUGGCUGGGUUGACAUCUUGAUGCUGCUCACCUAGCUGGUUUUCUGUCCUUGUGGUCAUGGCAGACUAAAUGGGACUUCUUUGCAGUCCUGUUUGUAGUCACUCACCAGUUGUGAAGUGUGAUAGCUUGCAAAACCAACAGCCAUCAGUACCAUGGGAAUUUACUGAAAUAUUUAUGAGGAACGUCUAUAUGAUUACAGAAAAUUACUUUUUUUUAUUUUAUUCUAUUCAUAUAAAUAUAUAUAUAUAUACAACACAUGUAAGAUAUUCAUAUUUUAUAUUUGAACUAGUAGGUUAUCAAGAAUGAAUGUAGUGUUUUGUCAGACUUGUACUCAAAAGACAGAAAUUAGUUUUUAUUGAUGAUAGCAAUUUUGAAAAACUUUGCCAAGACCAAAAAACAUUGGCCGUGCCCCUUUGUGUUGUGACUCGCAGACACUUGUGCCCAUCAUAUAAGUGGGAUUGGUCUGUUAAGGGGGAGGGGCCUGCUGUGGUGCUCUCAUUGGACAGUCCCUGCUUGUGUGGUUGCUAGGGGAACAGACUUUGAAACACCUGAUCCUAUUCUUAUGUCUUGUUUGUUUUGUUUACUGUGGACUUGAUUUGCUGUGCUGUUUUUAACAAUCAUUUUAUUUUUAUUACAUAUGCCUUUAAAUUGUUUUGUAUAGCAUGAGAGGGCAAGAUCACUGGCUUUCUUAGUUUGACAAAAGAUUAACUUAUCAUUUAUGCCUUAUUGUAAUUUGGAAGACAAGCAUUGUAGCAUAUUGUUUGUGUGAAAGUGUUUGAGAGAAAUCUAGCGAGGAAGACUACCUCCUCACUAAACUUUUGUGUUCCAUCUGUUGACCUGGAGCGUUGUGCUCCGUUGAAAUGAUGCAGUGUGUUCUGGGUAUUGAGUAUGUGCUGUUCUGGUGUGGUUAUGUUGCUACCUAUGACUGACUAGGGGUGACUCAGAGAUGUGGGAGUACUUGUAGAAAAAGCUUUACUAAAAACUCCAGCAGGUGUGUGUGUGUGUGUGUGUCUGUGUGUGUGAAAGGGAGAGUGAAGAGAGGGCUGAUUGUGGACCGUGGUGGUUCAUUUGUCGUCAGCCUACAGAGACAGUUAGGAUUAGGUUAACACUCAGAAGGGAAUGAGAGUAUAGAACAGGGACUGUGGACUCUGUUCCAUCGUCUGUGACGGCAUCCUUGUUGCUAUGUGAUUGCGGAUCCUCUGAGUUUACACCAAGUUCUUCAAAAGCAUGGCGCUUGUUUAGUUGAGACUCAGUGCGUGCCCGGGUCUGGGUCUCUGUGGUUUGUCUGAUGCUCUGGAAGUGGAUCUGUGCUGAUGUGUGUGUGUCUACCCUUCGCUGUGUGGGUGUAUAAAGGCUUGGGGUUGGGGGAGAGGGCAGAGGGAUGUUAGUCUGGGGUGACCAGCUUGGUUAAGGGGACUCUUGUAUACCUCAUUUCUAACUCAAGUCUAGGUAAAACCUGCUUUAAUCUACUUUAGAAAGAAAUGUAAUGUAAUGUUUUUUGCAAAACAAGGGUCCUAUCAAAGAAGCCCACAGGUUUGUUUUGAGUGUCAUGACAGCUGAUGCCACCAGGGGGAGACAUGACGCAGGCCAGCACUCACGAAUGUCAUCAUCGCCAGAGCUCUCAGUGACCUCAUUGGUCUGUCACACCUACACCUCCAGUUGCCUCCUAAUAAAAGGCUGAAAGACAGUUCACAUUUCUUUGAGUUUUCACCACUGUAAUAGUAGCGUGCACUUGAUUUAUCCCAGCCUGUUCUGUUAUCUAUGAUUUGACAAUCUUGUUUUUAUUCUACUUGUAGAUUCUGAAUGUAGAUGUUGUUGUCGUGUGAGCAUUUGCUCACCUGGUGGUGCUCUGUCUCACGCCGCUUCCUUCCCUGUGGUAACGCUAACCAAAGACUUCUAGUGAUUGUAUGUGGACUCCCACCCUUUGCCGCCUCACAAACCUAUGACAUGUGUGGGCAGUUGUGCGUGUCCUCUUUUAACAUUAAAGCUGCUUUGCAAAGCAAAGCCUGUGAGGUCAAAUAACCUGUGUGGCAGAGAUGUGUGCGCACGCGGGCGCGCCGACAACAAAAAAACGACCAGCACGUGUGGCAGUGCCCAUGGGUGGGGGCAGGUUGAGGUGGGAGUGGCUACAUUGGGCUUCUCUGACGGACAGGUCAGUUAUCCAAUCCCAUAGCGGCUGGGUGAUGCUGGCUGUUAUACACUGAGGGUUGAUCCUGUGUUAGGUCGCGUCUUUCUCCGACCUCGUUCCUGGGCCUCUGUGCAGCCAGCAUUUGGGCCGACAAGUCCGGGAACAAGAUGAGCCUGUGUCUGUUUUUAGGACCGUUGCCGGUACGCCUGUUCCAUCUCCACUACUGUUGUGGACGUACCCGGCUACACUGGAUCCAUCUGGCUCCAUGGCCGUGCAGCCAUUUGCCGGGAUACGUUGUCUCUAGGAUACACGUCCCCUCCCGCGUUUUUCCUUCUCUAUGUUUCGAUUCUCUGUUCUGCAGUGACACUAUGCAUCAUGGUCCUUCACUCUGCAUGGCCUGUGUCUGAUUGGCUAAGCCAUUUGGCCAAUGGGAUCCCAGGGAAACAUAUUUGCUUGAUGCUUUAUUCCAAGUGGGGAGUUGUUGGAUCUCACAAGCGCUAUCCCAAAGCAAAAAUAUCCAAAUAUUUAACGUUUGACAAACGCAGAUACCAAAGAUAACUCUCUGUCCUGUUACUCUCUCUCUUCCUCUCACCCUGCAGCUUGUGUAUGAAGACAAACCCAGCACUGGCUUUAGUCCUAGCCUAAGUAAUCCAAAGCUUAGAUGUAUAUUUUGGUAUAUUUCUGAGAAACCUAAAUGAAAAAAGUCUGUUUAAAACAUCUCGAUUGUUUGGUGUAUCGCUCUUUUUCUGUCACAGCAUGGAACUAAUUGCAGAACUGUCUAACUCUUGGUAGGUUAAAGAUAUAGUAUUUUUGUAUGUUUUGGGUGUGUCAAAAAAUGUGUGAUGAUAUCAGUUAACACGACCCAAGUGAGUGACCGUUGUUUAAGAAAAACAAGCAGAAAAAAAUUACAAUAAAAAAAGGUAUACCUGUACAUAUUACUUCUGUUUGUGGAUUUUUAAGGAAUACAUUCUGUAAGAUAAUUUAAUUCUCCCUCUGUAAACCGAGAUUGGGCUAAGCUAAAGGAAUGUGUCCUAUUUAUCCUCUCAGCCUCUGUAGUUUUCAUCGGAAUCUGAGUCGUGCCACUAGAACUACGGGAGAGAAUGUCAUUGUGAACUCACUAUGGACUAGAACUCUACUCAAUGUUGCGACCUCAGAUCCGGAUACCAACCGCAUAUAGAACUGAACGAUUGUGUAGAAAAUUUAAAGUAUGUGAAUCAGGAUACAUAGUAGAUUUGAUGCAUUUGUCUGCUGUAUUUUUGUUUUUUGUUUUUAUAUAUAUAUAAAGAUAAUCUUUUACUGUAAUUGUACAGUUCUUUUGUUGUAAACAUCAUUAAAC
ensembl:lncRNA